rnacentral:rRNA from 1 species
UACGUAGGGAGCAAGCGUUGUCCGGAAUCAUUGGGCGUAAAGCGCGCGUAGGUGGCCCCGUAAGUCCGCUGUGAAAGUCAAAGGCUCAACCUUUGAAAGCCGGUGGAUACUGUGGGACUAGAGUACGGAAGAGGCGAGUGGAAUUCCUGGUGUAGCGGUGGAAUGCGCAGAUAUCAGGAGGAACACCAAUAGCGAAGGCAGCUCGCUGGGACGUUACUGACACUGAGGCGACGAAAGCGUGGGGAGCGAACAGG